AAAGAAUUGAAACCAUUACGUCAAAACGACAUCAUUGAUACAAAAACUAUAUUUAGGAUUGAUCCUGAUUUUACUAUGGAAUUUCCCGAAUUAGAAUUACUGAAACUGUCAAAUCGAACUAAUAU